UACAGAGGGUGCGAGCGUUGUCCGGAAUCACUGGGCGUAAAGGGCGCGUAGGUGGCGCGACAAGUCAGUGGUGAAAGCUCGACGCUCAACGUCGAGUCGGCCACUGAGACUGUCGGAGCUUGAGGCACUGUAGAGGCUAAUGGAAUUCCGGGUGUAGCGGUGGAAUGCGUAGAGAUCCGGAAGAACACCAAUUGCGAAGGCAGCUCGCUGGGACGUUACUGACGCUGAGACGCGAAAGCGUGGGGAGCAAACAGGG
rnacentral:rRNA from 1 species